GCUCUUGUGGAAGGAGGGCUUACAUCUGCAAAGCUAGAAGGCUUUACUACAAGCACUCACAAAACCUUGCGCUGCCGUUUCUGAAACCUGCGGAGUCCUAGGCUGACACAAAUGACAGGACAAAGGAGCAUACAUGGAAAUAAGACGAAAAUUCAGAACAGAUGUCAGGAAGCAUUUUUCAUGCUGAAUGUGCACAGUGGCCAACCAGGUGUAACAGGGAAAAGAAAGGACCAGAAGGAAGACUUUACAUGACACACAUCCAUACUAAUUUAAAAAUUACUUUGCACUAUCUUGAAGUUUUUAGAGACUCUCAUGCUACUGUAGGGAGAGAAAACCGUUUAGUUCUUUCACCUCUGCACUACUGAAAAUAUCCAUUUCCUGCUGUCCUGCUCAAUCCUUUUUAACCUGUGCUGUCAUACUCGAGGUUAUUCUUCACCUGCCUUGCACAGUUUUGACAUUAUUAGCAGUAACAGAUUUGAAAUAAGAUUUAGCAUUUGGUAUUUGGAUUCAAAUGCCAGAAGUCAUAGCAUGAGCUUAGAAUUAUGCGUUUUUAUUUAAAUGAUUUUUUUUUGCAUUCCUUUCUAUAUGCUUUCUUCAUUCUGUGCUGGUUAAUUGACUUUUGGUCAUGUUUUCAAGGCUUUUUUUUAUAACCAUGAGGCCAUGAACUUCAUGUUCUUCUAAAAAAAAAAAAAAUAGAAAAAAAGAUUCUUGUGAAAUGAAGUGAUCAAGAAACUGCAUUUUUAAAGGAAAAGAUUGGUGGAGUUCAUCUUAUUUGAUAUGACUUAAGUUAAAUAACUAGUCUAAUUACACUCUACAGUUGAUGGAGGCAGAAACAUCACCAGCGAGUGCCAUAUUCCAUAGCAAUAUGGGCUGAAUGGACCAUUAGCAGGACCUGAGCAGUUUUGUUUUGGACAUCUACAACUAGGCCACACUAUCUCUCUUCAGAAGCAGUGACAAUCUACCUAAAAUUGAGAUUUGGCUGUGUUGUUUACUGAAAUGAAUGGAAAGCUGUAUUUUGUUCUCAAUUUACAGCUUAUAUUUUCUGGGUUAGAAAUUCUUAGUGUUUUAACUUCUCUGAUUGAGUUUGGGAGAAGGCCUUAUUCUUAAACUAAAAUAAUAUGUCCAAAUCUUCCCUGUUGUCCUUACCAUGAAUUCAUGGCACUACAGUACAAUGUAAAAAGAUUCUGUUUAGUGGUCAUUUUGGCAUGCAAAUUUCUCAAUGUCUCAAUCUGACAAGAGUCUGUAAAUGUUAUGGAAUAACUCUACAAUCGAGCCAUAUUAGUAUUAUAGUUAAUGUAAUAUACCAUAUGAAGUAUUCCACGAGCACCAAGAUCCUGUAAAAUCAAAGAACAAAUAAAAAAACUUAUCAAACCAAGUACCAAAAAUAUAGCUUAGUACUAUAAUUUGCAGUCAGUAAGCAAGCAAGUCAUUUCAAAACAAUUUUUUUGUAAUAUUAGGGAAGACAAAAUAUCCCUUUAAUGUGCCUGUGUUUACCUUUAAGAUCAAAGUAUGUGGACUUACUCAUAUUGCUAAGGUUAACCUUCUGGAUAUCUGUUUGUAGGAACAGGGAUAUUAAUUUGGUAAUAAUCCAUACUGCAGAAGAAAAUCCAUU